rnacentral:rRNA from 1 species
AGCGAACGCUGGCGGCAGGCUUAACACAUGCAAGUCGAGCGGGCACUUUCGGGUGUCAGCGGCGGACGGGUGAGUAACGCGUGGGAACGUGCCCUCUGGUUCGGAAUAACUCAGGGAAACUUGAGCUAAUACCGGAUACGCCCUUUUGGGGAAAGGCUUGCUGCCGGAGGAUCGGCCCGCGUCUGAUUAGCUAGUUGGUGAGGUAACGGCUCGCCAAGGCGACGAUCAGUAGCUGGUCUGAGAGGAUGAUCAGCCACACUGGGACUGAGACACGGCCCAGACUCCUACGGGAAGCAGCAGUGGGGAAUAUUGGACAAUGGGCGCAAGCCUGAUCCAGCCAUGCCGCGUGAGUGAUGAAGGCCUUAGGGUUGUAAAGCUCUUUUAUCCGGGACGAUAAUGACGGUACCGGAGGAAUAAGCCCCGGCUAACUUCGUG